AGGUCCUCAAGUGAAAUCUAAAAUAUUUCAAGCGAAACACGUUUUAAAAUUCUCCCACGAUUCUAUUACCAGUAUAAAUUUACCCCGGAUGGAUGGAAAUUCUAUUUCAGAGCCAUACACAAUAAUAUUGUCGCAAACCUGAAGCGAUGUUGCGAUCAAGCUCAGUACUUUUAAGCGAAUUCCACGCACCGCCGGAAGAAGAAGGAAAGGAAGACUCCAGAGUAGGAGCUACCGCGCGUAUCCAGCCACUUUCAUUGUUAUUCGAUCUGCCUUACACCAAAGGUGCAACAUAAGCACUCUCAUCUUCGGAGGAAUCAACAAACACUCGUCAUACUAGCUUUUCCAUAUUCUGGAAAAAUCGUACUCGCAACACCGAAUUUUCAAAGGAUAAGGACACGGUAGCUGCCUCUUAAUAAAAAAUCGUAACAACGAUUUUUCACUUUUAAAAAAUUUUUAAAUCGUUUACUGCACUUAUGAAAGUGAGAAUAAUAAUUCCAUCUUGCACGUAGUAUUUUUAAUCUUUGCACGGAAAGAACGAGAAAGGAGAGAUUUGUAAUCAGAACAGAUAGG